AACGAACGCUGGCGGCAUGCCUAACACAUGCAAGUCGAACGAGACCUUCGGGUCUAGUGGCGCACGGGUGCGUAACGCGUGGGAACCUGCCCUUAGGUUCGGAAUAACUCCCCGAAAGGGGUGCUAAUACCGGAUAAUGUCUUCGGACCAAAGAUUUAUCGCCUUUGGAUGGGCCCGCGUUGGAUUAGCUAGUUGGUAGGGUAAAAGCCUACCAAGGCGACGAUCCAUAGCUGGUCUGAGAGGAUGAUCAGCCACACUGGGACUGAGACACGGCCCAGACUCCUACGGGAGGCAGCAGUGGGGAAUAGUGGACAAUGGGCGAAAGCCUGAUCCAGCAAGGCCGCGUGAGUGAUGAAGGCCUUAGGGUUGUAAAGCUCUUUUACCCGGGAUGAUAAUGACAGUACCGGGAGAAUAAGCUCCGGCUAACUCCGUG
rnacentral:rRNA from 1 species